rnacentral:tRNA from 1 species
GGGGCAGUAGCUCAGUUGGGAGAGCGUCGCGUUCGCAUCGCGAAGGCCGUGGGUUCGAAUCCCAUCUGCUCCA